UGGGGAAUAUUGCACAAUGGGGGAAACCCUGAUGCAGCAACGCCGCGUGAGUGAUGACGGUCUUCGGAUUGUAAGGCUCUGUCUUUAGGGACGAUAAUGACGGUACCUGAGGAGGAAGCCACGGCUAACUACGUGCCAGCAGCGGCGGUAAUACGUAGGUGGCAAGCGUUGUCCGGAUUUCCUGGGCGUAAAGGGAGCGUAGGUGGAUAUUUAAGUGGGAUGUGAAAUACUCGGGCUUAACCUGGGUGCUGCAUUCCAAACUGGAGAUCUAGAGUGCAGGAGAGGAAAGUAGAAUUCCUAGUGUAGCGGUGAAAUGCGUAGAGAUUAGGAAGAAUACCAGUGGCGAAGGCGACUUGCUGGACUGUAACUGACACUGAGGCUCGAAAGCGUGGGGAGCAAACAG
rnacentral:rRNA from 1 species